rnacentral:lncRNA from 1 species
AGAUCAAAAAAUUAUAAUGGAAUCAAAUGGCCCUAUUGAUUUGCAUAUUUCAAUAUAUGAUGGAUACAGUUAUUAAGCUAAUGAUUUACAUGGUAUCUUCAUCAUUUUCUCCAACAAAGAUGAUGGUGUUAUACUAUCAAAAUAAUAUGUGCAGUCUGCAUUCAUCAAAAUGGAUGCUGAUUUACACGUACACGUUAAUUAUAUUAUCAACUUUUCUUAAUAGAAUGUAAAGAGCGCAAAAAAGAGACUUAUAAAUAGAGUCGAAGGUAGUACUCAGUUUUGAAGAUAAAGUGGCGGGACAUCAAGCAGGUAGAUGCAAUUAUUUAUCAAU